GGCGAGUUCGUGUACCAGGACUCUUGUUACCAUUUUGAGGGGACACUUAAAACCUGGCAAGCGGCUGAGGAUUUCUGCAAGAACAAGGGAGGUCACCUGGCCAGCGUCCACUCCCUGGUUGACGGACAAUUUUUGGCUGCUCACCGGCCACUAGGAUGGUAUUCUUGGCUGGGACUCAGCCAGAACAAUGGCAACUUGGAGUGGCGCGACGGAUCAGCUACAGAUGACGUUCCGUUGUAUCUUCCUACAACACCAUAUA